ensembl:rRNA 5S_rRNA 5S ribosomal RNA
GUCUAUGGCCAUACCACCCUGAAUGCGCCCGCUCUCAUCUGAUCUCGGAAGCUAAGCAGGGUUGGGCCUGGUUAGUACUUGGAUGGGAGACCGCCUUGGAAUACCGGGUGCUGUAGGCU